GAAUCUUAGACAAUGGGGGCAACCCUGAUCUAGCCAUGCCGCGUGAGUGAUGAAGGCCCUAGGGUCGUAAAGCUCUUUCGCCGGGGAAGAUAAUGACUGUACCCGGUAAAGAAACCCCGGCUAACUCCGUGCCAGCCGCCGCGGUAAUACGGAGGGGGUUAGCGUUGUUCGGAAUUACUGGGCGUAAAGCGCGCGUAGGCGGAUAUUCAAGUCGGGGGUGAAAUCCCGGGGCUCAACCCCGGAACUGCCUUCGAUACUGGAUGUCUGGAGUUCGAGAGAGGUGAGUGGAAUUCCGAGUGUAGAGGUGAAAUUCGUAGAUAUUCGGAGGAACACCAGUGGCGAAGGCGGCUCACUGGCUCGAUACUGACGCUGAGGCGCGAAAGCGUGGGGAGCAAACAGG
rnacentral:rRNA from 1 species